CACGUAGGGUGCGAGCGUUGUCCGGAAUUAUUGGGCGUAAAGAGCUCGUAGGCGGUCCGUCACGUCGGAUGUGAAAUUCCAGGGCUCAACCCUGGACCUGCAUUCGAUACGGGCGGACUAGAGUUCGGUAGGGGAGACUGGAAUUCCUGGUGUAGCGGUGAAAUGCGUAGAGAUGUGGAGGAACACCGAUGGCGAAGGCAGCCUCCUCGGCCAGCACUGACGCUCAUGCACGAAAGCGUGGGGAGCAAACAGG
rnacentral:rRNA from 1 species